rnacentral:rRNA from 1 species
GGUGAACGCUGGCGGCGUGCCUAAGACAUGCAAGUCGAGCGGGCCGCGGGGUUUUACUCCGUGGUCAGCGGCGGACGGGUGAGUAACGCGUGGGUGACCUACCCGGAAGAGGGGGACAACCCGGGGAAACUCGGGCUAAUCCCCCAUGUGGACCCGCCCCUUGGGGUGUGUCCAAAGGGCUUUGCCCGCUUCCGGAUGGGCCCGCGUCCCAUCAGCUAGUUGGUGGGGUAAUGGCCCACCAAGGCGACGACGGGUAGCCGGCCUGAGAGGGUGGCCGGCCACAGGGGCGCUGAGACACGGGCCCCACUCCUACGGGAGGCAGCAGUUAGGAAUCUUCCGCAAUGGGCGCAAGCCUGACGGAGCGACGCCGCUUGGAGGAAGAAGCCCUUCGGGGUGUAAACUCCUGAACCCGGGACGAAACCCCCGACGAGGGGACUGACGGUACCGGGGUAAUAGCGCCGGCCAACUCCGUG